UUUAAUUACAGUUGCUUCAGGCUGCUGGCCUCCAUGCCAAAUGGCCACAUGGAGAGGAUUCUAUCACACCAGAAAGCCAACAGGGUCCAGUCUGUGGUGCACCCGGCACCUGGUGAGGCUGGGGCUGUGUUCUGACCAGGGAAAGGCUGAACCCAGAUUAGUUCACGUGGGCCUCAGAGCAGCUGGGCUUUCGCUGGAGUCGCUGGGCCAGAUGGAACUGCCCGCCGGGACCCUUACAGCAGAUUCCAGGGAAGGCCUGUAAUUGGGUGGGAGAGGGAUCUUUGGGAGGAAGGCCAAGCUGCGGAAGUAUGAUGGGAUGGGUGAUACUGGGGGGCACAGCCGAGAGAGGAAUGUGAUAAUCCCGUCCACAACACUUCACAAUCUACAAAGAGCUUUCCGCUUUCUCCAGCGUGCUUAAUCCUCCCAUCAAUCCUGCCUAGGAGAUUGGGCGCAGAGAAGGGAAGUCACUUGCCCGGAGUUAAACAGGCAGGAAACCAGGUCUGGAGCCCUGGCCUCCCACUGCAUCCAGCAGUCUCCAUGAGGAGGUGAGACGCACAGAGGUGCAGCGACUUGCCCAAAGUCACCCAGCUAGAAGUCAGGCCCGGUUCUCGUUCCGGAGCCCCUCUCUUGAAGGGGAGGGCAGAGUAGGGAAGAAGGGACUACCACAGCCAGCUCCAUCGGCCAAAGGACACCAAGGAAACAGAUUGUGUCUGGAGCAGAAAAUGCCUUGACCGCGCUUCAUUCGCCAGCAAGCCUCUCCGGGGCCCCAGCGGAGGGCCAGGCACACAGUAGGUGCUCAGUAGGUGGAGACGAGACAGGAAUACCCGCCUCUGCUGCAGCCCUUAGCUCUUCUGUUCUCCCCCCUGAGCUGGAGACUGCCGGCUAGCCUUCGGAGAGUAAUUCUUUAGUCUCAAUGAGGGUUGUGAUAUGGACCCCCGGCCCCUCCUUCUUCAGCCUUUUCCCAAAGAUUAUCAUUCCCAGGCUUGAACAGGCAUCUGGACCAGUUCGUUAGGCCUAGUUCUGGAGCCAGAGGCCUAGUGAGCCAUACUUCUGCUGAGCCCAGUUUACAGGCGAGAAACUGAAGCUGGGAGGCUCAGAGAAGAGAGGUGACCUGCCCCCAAGACCACACAGUGGCCCAGACAGUGACACCAGAGUGGGCCUCACCUGGUGGCCCCAGAGCUUGCGGAAGAUCUGGAAAUAGGCCAUGGCCAUGAGGCCCAGUGGGGCCAGAGCCAUAGAGCCAAACAAGCAGCUGGGCCUCACACAGGCACCGUGGCAGAGAGAGCCUGGAGUUGCCCAGCCCGGAGGUGUCCAUCCUGGAAGGAGCCCUAGCAGAUGUCUAGACUGGAGGAGGUACCCACCCUGGAGGUAUCCUUGCUAGAUGCCUGUUCUGUGGCAUCUGGCAAGGGGUUACCCACCCUGGGAGCACACCCCAUAGAAGCCUGCUCCAAGAGUGUCCUUUUGGGAGAUAGAUGGCCACCCCGGGAGUGCCCACCCCAGAAGUGCACUGACAGGCGCCUGUGCUAGGGGUACGUGUCCCAGAGGUGCCCACCUCAGGGAUGCCUGCUCCAGGCCCCCACCAUUACCUGGCCAGUGUUCAUCACAGACGGAGAA